GGUCAGAUGGCCGAGUUGGUCUAAGGCGACAGGUUUAGGCCCUGUUCUCUUCGGAGGCGUGGGUUCGAAUCCCACUCUGAUCA